GCAGAUGUAGCCUAGCUGGUAAGACGCCGGCUUCGAAUGUUUUUCCUUAUAUCUGGAAGAGCCGGUGCGCGUAUGCGUUCGGGGGUUCGAGUCCCUCCAUCUGCGCUA
rnacentral:tRNA from 1 species